rnacentral:pre_miRNA from 1 species
GACAUCCAGCAAGUAGUCUGUCUUGUUUACUGUGUCACUGACAAACAAGACAGACUACUUGCUGGAUAAC